rnacentral:rRNA from 1 species
GACGGAGGGGGCUAGCGUUGUUCGGAAUGACUGGGCGUAAAGGGCGUGUAGGCGGUUGAUCAAGUCAGACGUGAAAGCCUUGGGCUUAACCCAAGAACUGCGUUUGAGACUGGUUGACUUGAGGACGAGAGAGGAAAGUAGAAUUCCGAGUGUAGAGGUGAAAUUCGCAGAUAUUCGGAGGAACACCAGAGGCGAAGGCGUCUUUCUGGCUCGUUUCUGACGCUGAGGCGCGAAAGCGUGGGGAGCAAACAGG